rnacentral:tRNA from 1 species
GGAGUUGUGGCUCAGUGGCAGAGCACUCACCUAGCAUGUGUGAGGCCCUGGGUUCGUUCCUCAGCACCACAA